ensembl:lncRNA
GCCGUAUUCAACGGGUCAUUUCUAAUCACCUCUAGUCUAGAGUGGAAUGAUUUUAUUACAAUGACCAUCACUGCGCACAGUGACAAUGGGGAUCCCAAGGAUAUUUCCCUAUCAAAAACCCUUCCUGUUCUUUUUGCUGUCAACCUAGCUGUGACAUUGUAAGUCCACAGUGCCUUCAUCCUGUGUUGUCUCUUCCAAACAAAUGAAACCCUAUCCAGAUAAAGGUUUCGACAGUAUUCAUAGUCAUAGACCAAACAAAAUUGUAUUUGAAAUAUUGUGUUUGUCAUUAUGUAAUUCUGACAUACAUGUAUGUGUUUGCGUUUAUCUCUUAAGCCUGGACACCCCUGGUGCCUCGACAACAUAUGUUGAUUACUCACUGGAGGACAGAGGGCCUAAAACCCACUUACACAUAUGUACCGGGUAAUCAGUCUACCUUUAUUAGGGCAAUGUAAACAAGUAUAACAGCUGUAUUCACAAUCCUGCACAGCAUUGUUGAAUGAUUAUCAUGUCUUUCGAUCUGAUGCUAUCUGUCAUUUUGUUACAUUACAGGUAGCUAACAUAGGCAUGCUACCUCUACCGGUCACAGUCAAAUUUACCUUCCCAACAAAACCUGGGAACUACGUUGAAAUUCAAAGCUACAGUAUUUCACAACUUAAGAACAAUUACACCAUACAGUGCAGUCCCCCUCAGGAGACAAUUACUCAGGUAAUAAACUUUUAACUACUUUAAGUUGUAAGGCUGUAAGAUUUCGCUACCCUUUAUUAUUUAAGCAGCAAUUCUUUUUUUACUUCACCGAAGCUAAUACAUGAGAGAUAUAUACAAUCUAAUUUCAACAGUUUUCAAUUUCAGGAGAAUUGUAGCUUUUGGUGGCCCCCCUUAAACUGUCAUUAAUCUUUAACUGUUGCUGAUAUUUUCAAUAAAACGAAGAGCUCAUUUGUUUCACAGAACUGUUCUAAGAUGGAAAGCUGCAAGAUGGUUGAGUGUCACAUUCCCACAUUAGACAGGACUGAGUCAGUUCUGUUCACACUGACUGUGAGUGCAGCCUUCAACCUCAAUCCCAAUAAAUAUACAUUCACUGAAAUGAGGUUUAAUAAGGACUACAAAAGUUUUGUGGAAAUCAACUAUAAUCAAACACGUUACAUACAGACUGGAAACGACCAAACUGUAAGUUGGCUCCCAUUUAAAAUAGUUCUGAGUUGUAUAGAUACAGCUACUGUGUCUGCAGUCAUCCUCAGUGAUGCUUGUUUCACGGCAGGUUCCUGGACUAGUUUCAGACUUCCAUCGGAUUCAGGGUGUAAGCAGAGCUGAGUUCAUUGUUCCAAUCAACACAUCUCUGAUCAUGGGUUUAGCAGGUGCUGGAGGACUGUUACUGCUAACCUUUAUUACUGCAGUUCUGGCCAAGUGUGGAUUUUUCAAGACAAACAGACCAAUUUUUACUCCAGUCAGGAGGUGACUCAAGAGACCCCGGAGUAUCAAGAAACCCUAUUCUAACAAGAAAAAUGAGAAACAUAUUAGCAGGACCAUGGGCACCUCCCUUAUGCAUAUAUAAGGCACAAUGUAACAUACCUGGCCUAAACAGUAGCAGGAAAGGAUGCUGGUACACAUAAUUGACACCAUGGGAUGGAUAUAUGCAGUGCAUUGUGAAACCCCCCUGAGUCAUCACUUUUUCCUAGUCUUGAUAGAAACUAGCCAAAACAAGUUCGGUCAUAUGUCCGUUAGCCAUGUGUCUUUCACUGAAAUAAUGGGACUGUAUGUGUGCUGUCAGAGCGUAAUUAAUAAGACCCGUUUCUUUAAGAGCCUUUCGUUUAUCAAUGACGUAAUCAAUAGGAUAUUUGAAAAGCUUUGGAUGCACUGUCGGUAUGUUAGUUUCGUUAUCGUUUUCUGUUUGUGAGUCUGUUACUAUUUGUUACAUUUCAUGUCUUUAGAUACACUGUGUAUGUUAGUUUGUGAUCGUUUUCUGUUCACGAUACCGUUACUAUCGUUUUCUGUUUGUGAGUCUGUUACUAUUUGUUACAUUUCAUGUCUUUAGAUACACUGUGUAUGUUAGUUUGUUAGUUAGAUGUACUGUUGGUUUGUUCGUUCGUGAUCAUGUUUGAUUUGUUAGCAAUAGUUAGUUUAACUCUAGAGUUAACUUUUAAUGUGUAGGCAUAUUAGCGUAUUAGCAUAUUGAUAGAAUUAAUUUGGAAACACUGUUCAUGACCUAAGAAUGUAUUAAUCGAGUGCCUUGUAUUAAUAUUUACCUUGUAUCAUUUUGUAACCAGGAACAUGGCUUUUCUGUGUCUUUGUGUGUGUGUAACUUAGAUUAUUAGGUGCUGAUGCCACUUAGUCUGCAUAUGUGGUAAGAGCUUUGCGUAAGAGAAGGAACCUUUUGUCUAUGUUUGGGUGAGCUCAGAGGUGAUAAGAAGGGUUGAACUGUGCUUGUUCGACCCUGUGAAAACUGACAUCCUUGCAUGACAGAAAGUUGAGUUGAGAUGACAGAAGAGGACUUUUAGUUGAGCGUGGCUAUUCUUGCUGACAUUUGAACCGCUUAUGGCGUCGGAAUUAGAUAAAUCUUAAGUAUAUAAACCCUGUGCGAUGUUUGUGAAAUUGCUUCACUUUCAUCCUUGUGCUGUGAGUGAGCUUAAUUGCAAUUGUUACUGAAUAAAUAAAUCUACUGAUCUACA